CAACAGUCCUGUACAAGUGCAUAUUUCUAAAGGGCUCCAAGGUUUACAAAACAUUUUCCCUGCAACAACCCUAUAAGGAAAGAUGGACAUCUCCAUUAACAUACCAGACCAGCAGGAGUAGAGAUAUUCCUUUCCCUCACUGCCAUUUCUAGACUUUACUGAGUAAUCUCUCCUUUAAGGGACUUCAAUAUGUACUUUGAUGUUCCAUCAAACACCUGGCUUCCAAUUACUCAAACUUCUCCAGUCUUAGAUAUGUGUUUCAUUGCAUCAAGUAAAGCCAAGAGCUGUUUAAUAAUAUUUCUCCACCAUCACUG